CAAUAAAAAUUACAAAACAGACACAAAAAUUAAAUUUUUCAAACAAAAAGUGUCGUGUCGUCGUAGAUCUACUGUCAACAACAACAGGAUGUUGGUCAAAUGGUAAAUAGUUGAUAACAAAUUAAAAUGUAAAAGCGCUAAAACAGGAGUGUGAAAUAGUAAAUGGUCGAAGUGUGAAAUAUAAUGAUAUAACAUAGUUCAUAAACAGCUCUGAGUGCCGUUUCACCGAAUAAUUUCGGCAGUCUUCGGGUUGAAGCCAAGAAUAGAAACUGCUAUAUUUAAAGUGUGGAAUUAAAUCAAUAGUGGAAAAUGUAUGCAAUAUUUACCCAUAUAGCCUACUUCUUAUUUGUAACGUUCUGGUUUAAAAUACUUUUUACUAUAGUAUUCUGUACUUCUAUGAUACGAUGGGGGAGGAAAAUUUUGCAUUGAAAACUUGAUGAAACGGAUACUAAAUAUGAUUACGAAUAAUAUUGAAUAAAUUAUAUUGUAUUUACUUUAA